rnacentral:rRNA from 1 species
AUUGAACGCUGGCGGCAGGCCUAACACAUGCAAGUCGAACGGUAACACGGUACAACUUGCUGCUUACCGGACGCGUGUCGGGGGCGGGAGUGAUGUCCAGCGGACUGCACGAUUUCGGGGGGGAAAAAGUGGGGACAGUAACGCUAAUACCGCAACCGCCCAACAGCAGAAAGGAGGAGACCUUCGCACCUUGCGCGCGUGAGUGACCAGAUGUCGGAUUAGCUAGUUGGUGGGGUAAAGGCCCACCAAGGCGACGAUCCGUAGCUGGUCUGAGAGGAUGACCAGCCACACUGGAACUGAGACACGGUCCAGACUCCUACGGGAGGCAGCAGUGGGGAAUAUUGCACAAUGGGCGCAAGCCUGAUGCAGCCAUGCCGCGUGUAUGAAGAAGGCCUUCGGGUUGUAAAGUACUUUUGGCGGGGAGGAAGGGAGUAAGGUUAAUACCUCGGCGUAUUGACGUUACCCACAGAAGAAGCACCGGCUAACUUCGUG